UGUGUAGGCGGUCCUCUAAGUUUGGUGUGAAAUCUCCCGGCUCAACUGGGAGGGUGCGCCGAAAACUGGGGGGCUAGAGUGCGGGAUGGGAGAGUGGAAUUCCUGGUGUAGCGGUGAAAUGCGUAGAUAUCAGGAGGAACACCUGUGGUGUAGACGGCUCUCUGGACCGCAACUGACGCUGAGACACGAAAGCGUGGGUAGCAAACA
rnacentral:rRNA from 1 species